CCGGCCGCGCCCCGCCCAGAGCGCAGCGGGGCGGAGAGAGACGGCCGCCGCGGUCAAUGGGGAAGGCGGGCUGGGCGCUGGGCGCUGGCCUUAGGAUGAGAAGAAGAGAAUUCAGAGCCCGCUAUUCCAGAAUCCGCGUAAGCCAAAUUGCCAUGCCGGCAGAGCAGGGAACAGAGCUGAGCGAUUCUGGAUCCGCCUCUUAGAAGGAGGGCAGCCCAGGAUGAGUGCGUGCUUAUGCAAUAGAGCAGCCAGACUGUUGUGCUUAAAACACCGAGUGAGUGUUGGGAACACACACUUUAUCUGUCAGAGUGAGGCUUUUCCAAAUGACUUGUUCUGAUGCACACUUGGCAUUGAAUGGGAAAAAAGAGAGCCCAGGGACUGAGUCCAUCAGUGCAGCUUUUUGGAAGAGGCAUUAGGUAUAUAGAGUGCAUGAAAUUUGUUAUUGUCUUUCAGCACCUGCUUUGUGGUUGAGAGUUUCAUUUUCAGGGCUAGAAUAGAGAUGCUUUAGUAGCAAACACAUUUGCAUGUGAAAAUUGCAUAACACCACCAUUUACUAUCUCUGAGCACAAAAUUAAUUAAUUUCCUAGAGACUAGGCCAAAUUAAAUUGACAUGGGUAUUCUACUUAAUGCAACAGACCCUAAAUCUAGAUCUAUUUUUUUGUUGUUUAUCUUGUAGGACACAGAUGACUUUGGGAUGAGAGGGACACUCUUGCCUAGGCAGUUCACAAAAAUAACAGACACUUUUUAAAAUUGAACAUUUGGACCUUUUCCUUCUAAAGCAAGGGACUGAACUUUGUGGAUUGUAGCACAAGAAUUCAACUUCAUUCUUUUUAAUUUCUAAGCUGCACCCUGGCAGUGGAUGCCACAAAGACAGCAAGGCUGUCAGUCUAUUUAAUGAACUACUUUUUAGUCCCAUAUUGAAUCAUUAAAAAAAAGGUAACAAACUCUGAGAAGGUGAAUUAACUACUACACAAAGUGUAAAAGUAUGGUUGCAGCAUGAAAUGAGGAAAUUUUGUUAAAUAAAUCCUCACCAAAUGUUUGUCAAUUUUUCUGCUGAUUGUUCUAGGAGUCUUGUUUGCUCCAAAUGCAUAUUUAUUUUGUUCUUAUGUUAGAUUAGUUUCCAUAUGUGCAAUAUUCCUACAAAUAUGCAGUGUAAUUUGGACUAGUAUACAACAGAAUUGAUCUGGAUCCUUCUUUAAUCUGAGUUUCCUUUAGGUUCUGGAAAUCUAGGAAUCUGUGCUUUUUACUGCUGCCAUAGCAUGAGGCAUCCUCAGGACCUUCCCUAGAGAGUUUCCGUGUGGGGCCAGAUGGGUAAAUGUAUUUCCUGGUGAGAUUUGUGGACUGCUGAGAUGUGGUAUAGACAGCUUUAACUUUGGUGAAAAAGAAAAUGUACAGUUAAUCAUGACCUUGCAUUCUAGGAAGCAUCUCAGACCAUGGUACAAGUGUUUUCUGUGGUUUUCCUUGAACUACAAAGUUUUAGUUACUGACUUUACCAACAAUAAAAGUGUAUACCUAUUCCUGAAACAGGCUAGAUCCUAUUCUGAUGUAGUGCAGAUGGUUUCUUCCCUUGGGUAUGCCUUGGGUCUGCCUCAAUGCCUGGAGAUUUGUUGUUAUUAGGCUGCCACAGGAGCGUUUGGAAGGCUGUUUAAGGCAUGUUUUAAAAGCAGGCAGUGUGAAUUACAGUGCAGUAGGCAGGAUACACAAGUAACCCCACUGAAGGUAUCUACAGGAAGUUACACACAACAUCACAGAGAAGUACUGUUACAAAGAGGGGGAGGUGCUCUCCUCAAUAUUUUUCUUAGCAGGAGUAUGUCCUCUUUCCAAGUGACGUCUGGAGAAUAAGCAUUUGAACAGGAGAAUUUCCACAGCCUUCUCUUCAUUCUGGUGGCAGAAUAGUAAUAAUAGGGUCACCAGAGACUGAACUCGAGAGGCCAAAAUAUCUGAAUGAGACCUCAUUUUUUACAGAUUCACUGCAGCUAUGUGACUUGUGCAGGUAAAUUUAAAACAGAACUAGAGAGCCAGUAAAGAAUACUUACAAAAUCAGUAACUGCAGCUAGUAUUUUAAGACCUUCCAAAAUACUUUGCAAAAAAUACAGCUUUAAAUGGUAAUAUUUCCCUUUAUCAUUCUCCUAUGAUUUUUUCAAAGGUUCCUUAGCCUAGGCCUGCCCAGGCAGUGUGAGCUUCCUCGUGUGAGCUGCUGGCUGAUUUUGACUAUCCAUUCACCCCCGAGCUGGUUGAGGCUGCUCUCUGUCUUGCUGGAUCAGACUCUUGGCUCAUCUUUCAUAACUGCCAAGGUCUUUCAUAACCUCUGAUCUUUCAUAACCCCAAACAGUAGCCAGUUCCGCCACGUGUUUAAUCUCGUCCACUUGGAAUGGGCCCAUCCUGAUGAACCUGAAAUACAAGUGUUUCUUGGGUGUUUUGUCUGCCUCAAUCCUCCUGAGCCCCAGGCACAUUUGUGUGGAUGUCAGACUUCCUUCCCUGAGACAAUGAAUGCUCAGUGGAGGGGAAAACCUCUUCUCUCUGACCUCAGAGGAGAGAAGGGAGCCUAGUCAUGGACUUCCUUCUCUCCCGGGGUGUGAAGCCCUAAUUGACUUAGGUGUGGCUCAGCUGGGGGUGGCAGUCUCCUUCCCUUUCCUCCCUGAGCUGCUCUGUGUGCCACACAGGGGUCCCCACCACGCUCUGCUCGGAGCCAAACCCAGGGUCACUCUGGGGGAGGGGAAGCUGCCGCAGCUGGAAUUGGUUUAAUUCUGCCUCAGCAGACAGCUUGCAUUCUCUACUCUGACAGCAAUUGCAGGCUGCAGUGAUGUAAUAAAAAAGGUUGUGGUUUUGCAGAGAGAGGGUGACCUCGCUGUAGCUAUCCAGCCGUCCACUCAAAUCCUCAGAUGCCUUCCAGUGCGGAUCUUUGUCACUUCACGGGUUUGAUGGGUGAUCUCCUAACAGGGACUAAAAUGGGAGGACAAGUAUAUAACAGCUUAAUAGAAACAGAGGGGUGAAAAAAAUGAAAAAGGAGGAAAUAUUUUGGAAUUAUUAGCUUGAGUGAGAAAGAGCGUUUCCUCGGUGUGACAGCCAGAGGCUUGCUGCACUGUUAUUAAAGUGCGCUUCAGUGGGAAUCCAUGCAGAUGGCUUUUUUACCCAGCAUAGGAUUAUAUUGGAUUAGUCAUAUAAAAUUGUUGUUUACCAUCUCUAGUCCUUUUCCCCAGAGGUUUUAUCAGGAAUCUCACAAAGCAUGUAGUUUGAGCCUGCUUUUACAUGGUAACCCAGCCGAGCAGCUUUUUGUUUGUGCAAACUGCCACAAUGUUGUAGUUUAAUGUAAUCCUAAUGUUGCAAUGGGAGAUUUUAGACCUGAUGAAAGAGGCUGUUUGGCCCAGAUUUUCCUUUUGCCUACAAGAAGGGAAGUUAGAUCAUAAGGAGAUGCUCUUUCUUCUUGCUGAACUCUCCAGAAGAGCUGUGCUGAUCCCACUUCUGCUCCAUCAGAGACACUCAGGAAUUCCUAACACUGGCACUGUUUUUCAUAAUGCUCGCUAAUGAGUUAUUUCUGGCAUAAUGCUUGAUUAUUAUAAUGCACUGUUCUGAGUGGUGUAUGAGACAUUUCUCGUGUUCCCUUUCUAUCAUGCAGAGCCAUACUCUGACCAUCUUUCUUCUUUAUGUCCAGAAGGCUCAAGGAUCACUGCUUAGACACAGUCCACAUUUUCCCUCCUGCCAUAAACUAAGAAACUGUCUUAAACAUACAGUGCAAGGCUCUCCCUUUAGAUCUACCCUGGGGUAGAAUAUAACAAGGAAAUAUUUUGUCACUUCAAGGUACAACAGAUAGCUCUACUGGUAAAAUGACAUCCUUUGUUUUUUUUUCUGGAGUUUUCAGACUGGCUCUGUCAUCCUGGGAAAUUUUCUCUUCCAGGAGGUGUGGCUGCAAGAAUUUUCCUGAGGUGUGAGUGCCUUUGAUUCUACAAUGAGAGAUGUUUUUCUUCUCUGUAGGGCAUUCUGUGACAAGGUAAUGCAGUCCUAAGCUGUUACUCUUUUCCCUAGACCAUGUUUGUGGGUAUAAAAUAAAAAGGUAUUUUUCCCUGG